rnacentral:lncRNA from 1 species
UGUCGAUCUCGUCGCUGUACCUCCCUCGCUGCUUCCACCUCUUCCCAUGGGAGGCAAUCCCUUCCGGCCUGGAUCUACUCCCACGUCCAGGAUCCUUUGCCAUCCAGGAUGUCCUCCCAUGUCCAGUUCAUCGGCCCACACUGCUUGGUCCUUUGGUGGUGGGCUCUUCUGUCACGAUCGUCAAAAGGAGUAGACCAAGGUGCAGCGUGGUGUGUGUUUGUCUGUCUCUGUCUGUGUGUCUGUCUUUGUGUGUUUGGGCAU